rnacentral:misc_RNA from 1 species
GCUACUUCUGUACGACUAUCCCUCGUAAUGUUCUCAUAUGUGCCAAUAAAUUUAAUUAGUCAUUUUAGAUAAAAGAUCUCAAGAACAUUUUACCUCAGAAAUGACUUGGAAACAAACAGGUUGGUCACGUUGCUCCAGUCUUCAUAGGUGCACCAAGGGUCCACUCCAAGUUCCAAACAACAAUGUGUCUUUACUUGUUGUACAGGAAAUGCCUGCUGAAAAUAUUAGUUACAUCUGCUGCUGGGUUUUAGACUUUCAGCUCCCACUUCCCUAUCCCCAUAUCAAAUAUUUCUUCUUGCAUGCGAGAAUCUGUAAAGAAGUAAAUUCUUGGUCAUCCGUGUAU